CUAAUCACAUACCCAAUCAUCUUACGGAAUUUCAACAAUUACUGUUGGAGAAAUCUAGAGUUGGUUUUGAUAAGCCUGAGGAUGCUCUUAGAUUGUUUGAUAAAAUGCUCCGUAUGAAACCUCUGCCUAGUGUCAUCAACUUUACUCAACUCUUGUCCGCCCUUGUCAAGAUGAAACAUUACUCUGUGGCUGUCUCCGUCUUUUCAAACAUGUGCUCUUUUAGCAUUCCUGUUAAUAUAAUUACUUAUAGUAUUGUAAUCAACUGUUGUUGCCAUUUGAAACGUGUUGAUUAUGGCUUUGCGCUGUUGGCUGCCAUCUUUAAGCGUGGUUUUGUCCCAGAUGUUGUUACCUACACAACUCUUCUUAGGGGUCUCAUUUCCCAGGACAAGUUUCUCGAGGCUGAGCUUAUGUUCUCUUACCUUCUCCAGCACAAUCAGAUUGAGCCUGAUGCAGUUAUCUUUACCACGAUUACUAAUGGCCUCUGCAAAACAGGCAACACCUCCCAGGCUAUGAGGUUGCUUAGAUACAUGGAGAAGAAAGGUUGUAUGCCGGGCCUAGUCACUUACAACACUAUUAUUGAUAGUAUGUCCAAAGACAGAUUAGUCGAUGAUGCUUUGGGUCUUCUUGCUGAAAUGAGUGACAAAGGCAUUCAACCAAGUGUUGUAACCUAUAGCUCUUUAAUUCAUGGCAUGUGCAACCUCAAUCGGUGGGAUGAUAUAACACAAUUGUUAAAAGAUAUGGACAGACACAAAAUUUCUCCAGAUAAGCAUACCUACAGUAUAUUGGUUGAUGCACAUGCCAGAGAUGGAAAGGUCAAAGAUGCUGAGUAUCUGAUUGAGUUAAUGAUUCGAAGAGGCCAAAAUCCUGAUGUAGUCACCUACAGUGCACUUAUGGAUGGAUACUGCUUGAGAGGAGAAUUGGAUAAAGCGUUUGCAGUGCUCAGUACCAUGAUAAGUAAGGGGAUUUUUCCUGACACUCAGACCUAUACUAUAUUGAUCAAUGGUUAUUGUAAGAAGAUGAAAGUAGACACAGCGAUACAUCUCUUAGAAGAAAUGACCCUGAAAGGUUUAACACCUACAGUUGAAACGUACAAUACUAUUCUGGAUGGGUUAUUUCGUGCGCGUAGGCUUAAUGAAGCACAUAAGUUUUAUAAGAAUAUGUUAAAUCAAGGUGUUAAACUGAAUAUAGUGACAUGCAGGAUCUUGUUGCAUGGACUUUGCUGCAAUGGACUUGCUGGUGAAGCAAUGUCUGUGUUUCGUGACAUGGAGUCAUGUGGCUUACUUCCUGAUAUACACAUUUAUAAUAUUCUGAUUCAUGGAUUGUUCAAGGACGGCAAGGUUGACGAGGCCAGAAGCCUUUUUCAUAAUCUUCGUUUGAAGGGUUUACGGCCUAGUGUCAUAUCUUACAACAUUAUGAUCCAAGGAUUCUGUCAAGAGGGGUUGCUGGAAGAAGCAUAUAAAAUACUUUUGGAAAUGGAAGAAAACAAUUGCUUGCCUAAUGAAGUUACAUACAACACUCUUAUCCGUGGAUGCUUUAAGAAUAAGAAGUAUGAUGGAGCUUGUGUACUUAUAGAUGAGAUGUUUGCUCAUGGUUUCAAAGCAGAUGCCUCUACCACCUCCAUGCUAUUCGAUUUGCUGCAAUCGAAGGAGCAGGACCCCGCACUCCUUGCUAUGAAGAAGAAAUUCAUGCCUUGACUACAUCAAGGAAAGAGUUUAUUAAGGUACACAAUACUUUAAAGUUGCCAGAACACUCUGCAGCAUUAUAAUUUACUUGCAUUACAUUGUAAAUUGUGAUCACUCUGCAAUCUGAUGAUGCAAACACUCUGCAGCAUUAUAAUUUGCUUGCAUUACAUUGUAAGUUUGUCUUCUAUUUUUGGCAGUCUACUAAUAGUUACUUUAAGUGCUGUAUGGCUAACAUGUAGUUGCAUAAAGGUGUCUUGAGUGCAGCAAAUGUGAAGUACACCAACAUUUUCAUUCAUCUUAUUGAUAUAUUAGUUCUUAAUAUAUUAUAUAUUGUAUUCGUUAUCUCUUUCUAAGUUUAAAAUCUCUUUUAAAAUACAGGAAAUGGAUCCAAAAUACUAUCCUCUGUUUCUAAAUUUGUUUACAGUUUCAAAUAAUAAACUUGUUUUCAUUUUUACUAUAUUCACAAAGUACCAGAGUGCCCACCCCAGGAGCUUCCAUGAUUUAAUCGUCACAAUUUUAUCUUUGACUGAUACAGGGGUUGUGUUAGGCUGCCCAUUAGCAGUUUCAGCUUUGAUCGCGAACGCCCCUAUACCCCUGCUUCAUCUAUAGCUAAUUAGCAACUCCAACAGUUACUUUAUAAGCUAUUGAACUUACUUGAAUCACGAGAGCAGGAUCCUGGCGCUCCUUGAAUCAAUUUCACUGUUUCUUAAUCGGAUCAGGGUGUUUAUAUAUUAGUUGUUCCUUGAAUCAACAACUUUAUGAUGAAAUAAUUGCUGGAAGAAGCAUAUAAAAUGCUUUUGGAAUUGAAAGAAAAUAAUUGCUUGCCUAGUGAAGUUACAUACAACACUCUUAUCUGUGGCUGCUUUAAGAAUAAGAUGUAAGAUGGAAGUUGUGUGCUUAUAGAUGAGACGUGUGCUCAUUGUUUUUCUGCAGAUGCCUCUACCACCUCCAUGCUAUUCGAUUUGCUGCAAUCAAAAGAGCAGGAACCCGGUCUCCUUGCGUUGCACAAGAAGUUCAUGCCUUGACUUUAUCAAGGAAAGAGUUCUGUAAGCUACAACGUACUUCUAAAUCGCUACAACUUUGUAAUAGUUUGCUACCAAAUUGGAAGUCAGAAAUUGGAAGUAAACCUUUUGCCCUUAUCUUCAGUGCUGUUAUAUAGAAAGCUCUUAAAUCCUCAUGCUUAACACUUCACCUAAACAUAAAGUCUAACGUAUCCGUGCUUUUAUUAUCCUGCGACUCUGCUUGACCAUGUAUUAAUGUUACAAUCCAACUUUAUGAAAAUUGGUGUGAUACAGUCUUUCAGUAAAGCCUUGAAGUGAAGACAUAUAUUACUCUGAAUAUUGUUGAAAUGAGGUAUGAAAAAUUGUGAUUCUGCAACUGUUCAGAUAAACAGAGUUGUCCGCACACUGUACAUGUUGACUAGGAUUCUAAUUAGUGAACCUGGAGUUCAUGCAUCAGCAACGCAACUCUCUUACAAUACAAAAAUUGCAUCCUCUGCACAAUAAAGUUAUGUCACAAAAUUUCGGAAAAUUUUCGUGUGAGUAGACAUGAUUUUAUUAUUGAGUUUGGGAGAGUCUCUAUAUGAUUGUGGUGUCUCAACAAUAAAGGGAAUCCAGGCACUGCUUUAGAAAAAAAAGGGUCCGGAUCCCUGACAUUCGUACAUAAGCUACUAAUAAUCGAAUAUUCUGGACCAACAUCCAAAAACGAGGGAGUCUGAAAUAUCCUGUGAUGCUCGGACUCUCCGGAAAACCCUGCCGUACCCGUGUCCACAGGACAUGACACUGACAGUGACACUGGGAUUCGGAUCCGAACGUCAUCCAGGAAUCAGACUCUCCAUCUUAGACAACCUAUCUCUAAUUUCAGUGACAUAUCUUUAAGAGGAAGAUAGGAAUAAGAAAAUAUACGAAGAAACAGAGAUGAAAUGGAUGUAAAAGGAGAAAAGAAGCAACUCUUGACUUGAUUGUUUGUUAUGCAGUGUAAUAGAAUGAUAAUUAUUUAUUUAUAAGAACCAUCAUAUUAAUUAAAAAUAAUAAUUGCAGUGUCCAAAUCCAAGUGUCGGAUCCAUAUAAAACGCGUCCCCGAGUCUUUAAUUUUGUAGUUCGAAAGAUCUGACACCCUGAUAUGUGUCCGUGUCGGAUCCUUCUAAAAGAGUCUGAGCAUCAUAGGAAAUAUCUGAUACUCUGCCCCCUAUUCAUUGCCGCUACUGUCGAGGAUAUAUAUUAUUUCGGGCACCCCAUGACCAUUUCUGGACUAAUUCACAGGAAAAUGUGAACGUUGUGUAUGCAAUGAUGAUUAGUCCAUAUUUUUGCAUAUUUAAGUGCCUAUUUUUUGUUUAUUUUCGUAGUAUUAAUCGUUUAUUUAUUUUAUUUCAGGAAAUUGUUGAUAAAUAAAGAAAGAAGAAAAAGUGCAAGAAAAUGGAAGAAAAAGAAAAGAAAAGAAGAAAAUCAAAAAGAGUUGGCAAGCAAGGGGACACAUGGAGGGCUAUGAUCUACCCAACACACAUCACACAUGGAUGGAUUAGAUUUAGCCACCCUACCCCUAAACCCUAGAAUUCUAGUUAUAAAUACCCCCACCCCUUACUUGUAAUCACAAUCUUUUUAACCUAGUUUUUUCCUAGUUGGUAGGUAGUAUAGUGCUAGAUCUUCUUUUGCCUCUCAAUUUCAUACCAUAAUUGUAAACACUUUUUAUUUUAGUGCAAAUUUUCUUUUAGCUUGAUCUUGUGUUGUCUCUAUUUUCUUUCUACAAGUAAUAUGAUUCUUAGUACCAAUUUUUAGUUUUAAUUUUUUUUAGAUGGUAAAAGCUCUAGCACAAAAAUGAUUUGUGUGGGGGUUUGGCUUUAAAUUUCAAGAUUACUAACAUAAUAUUAAUUCAGCAUUUCUUUAAUUUAUUAAACAAGUUUAGUAGCACAGAUUAAUAUGCUUUGGUUUAGUUGUUUUUAAAACCCAUUUCGUUAGUUUUUAUUAAAACAAAACUCCACUCCCCUGUUUUCAUUCUUAAAAACCCCACUGCUCUGUUUUUGUACCGAGUCACUGAGUCAACUCGCCCGCGUUCACCGAGUCACAGCGUUUUCAUCAUUUACUUCACAGUUUGAGUUUGUUUUAAGUCGAGUAUUGAGUCUGGUUCCCUGUCUUGCUGGGUUUGUAUGCGCUGCCAUUGUUGCUUCGAGUUGCUUGCUGCGUUUCUGCACCGAGUUGUCGAGUCCUGGCGAGUUACGAGUUUUUUUUGUUUUAUCUUGCUGCGUUGUACUUUUCUGGGUCCUGUAGUUCGAGUAUGAGUCAGUUUCUGUAGUUUUCACCGAGUCUGUUAUGCUUUACCGUUUGAGUUGUUUUGUGCGUCCGAGUUUGAUGAGUCGCUGCACUGAGUCGUGUCCGAGUCACCAUCCCGAGUCGCUCUUUCUUUGUUUACGUUGUUUCUGCUGCGUUCUCUUCUUGUUGCUUGGUUGAGUUUAGUUUCUGUGGUCUUGUGUAAUAUAUUAGUCCUGUUUUCGAGUUUUGGCUGAUUUUUUAGCGUUCAUUUGAGUCUGUUUUCACUGCUGAGUCGCAUUUUCUGUUCCCUGAGUCACGAGUUUGAGUAGUUUUUGCUGCGUUUUUGCUUCAAAACUUGUGAAUUCGUUUUCUCUGUAGCCUGUGAUUCAGUUUUUCUUUCGGUCGAGUCAGUUGUAGCAAGUGUUUAGAGUAAUCUGAGUUCAUGUCGAUUUGCUGGUUUUAUGCGUUUUUGCCGAGUCUGCUCUGCUUUUUUUUUGCUUAAUUACUGAGUCAUCUCCGAGUCGUUCACUGUUUCUGUCGGGUUUAGUCUUGUUUACCUGGGUUGUUAAAGUUUGGUUUGAGCUUUUGUUCGAGUCUGUUUUGAAUCGCAGCAUCGAGUCAUCUGUCAAGUCGCUUAUUAGUGUUUUUAGAGUCCUGUAGUUCUGAGUUUUUGUGUCGAGUCACUGAGUGAAACACCGAGAUUAGCUGUUUCCUGAGUUCUGUUUUUGUUUGGAUGGCUGAGUCGAGUGUCUAAUUCUCGCGUCUGGUAGUAUAGUUGUUGAGUUUGUUGGUUUUGUUGAGUUUUAUGUGUGCUGUGUACUCCAAGUUCCGAGUCUGUUUUGUAGCUGUCGAGCUCGCGUCACUGAGUCCUGCUAUCUCCUUGCUUUCGUUUAUGCAGAUUAGUAGAGUGUUAGUCCGAGUUCAGUUGUUUCUCUCCCGAGUCCAUUCAUUCUGCUGCUGCGUUAGUUUAAAAUCAGGGUCCUUUCUUGUUUAGCUAGAUUCUUAGUCGAGUAUUAAGUCUGGUUGCUGGGUCCUGUUUCAAGUUUUGUUAAAGUUUGAAUUGGUUUUCUGCCGAUUAUGUUUAGAAGUCGCAGAGUUUAGUUUCCUGAGUUUAGGAUUAGAUUUGUUGCGUCUGUUUGUCUAGGAGCUACUGUGUCAAGUGAUAAGUUUGAUUAUUUUAAGUAGUUUUGUUUUUGUUUCCAUUUCAUUUCGUCAAGUUGCAGCCCUGUUCUUGGUUGCUGGGUUUGUUAUUUAUGUUUAUUCCCCUGCAAGUUCAUGGUCGAGUACCAGUAUUGCUAUAUAUUUUGUUUUAUUCGCUGAGUUUACAAGUUUGUUUUUGGUAGAAAUAGUGUUGGCCAGUUGAAAUUUCAAGUUGAUUAAGCCACUCUAUUUACAGUCUGAUAUGUGCUUUAGUCCGAGUGAUCACGUGCUUAAUUAAUUUUGAAUUAUUAAUCUUGGUAAUUAGUUUCGAUUAAUUAAAGUUAAUUAGUUUAGUUUUUUUAAAUUAACGUUAUAAUAAGUAAAAUUAGUGUUAAAAUUUACCUUCUUCACACCAAUUCAUUGUUCUAAUUCGCCUAGAUUUUAAUUAAAGGAUUUGCGAAAAUUAAUUUUUAAUCUCUGUGGACGAAUCAUAAAUACUAAAACGAAGAUCGUGCGCUUGCGAUUUAUAAGGUAAUAUUUCUAGCACAUCAAAUGACAGGAGACAAAAAACAGCUUGGUAGCUCUUUUUGCCUUGGCUGAAAUCAUGGCCCAGUGUCACUUCUCUGCUUGUUACCAUGUCCUCUUUUUACCCAUAAUUAAACAACUCGAAUAAUAACUCUUCAAGUUUCUGGAUAUUUACCUCGAAAAAAAAUCAUGAUCUUCAUGAUUUGUGAUAUCCAUUUUCCGACAGUAUCUUAGUUGGAGUUUUUGUAGGCAUCCGUGCUUGCCUUAUCCUGCGAGACCACGAACCAAUGCUGCCAUCCAACAUUAUGAUAAAUUUGUUAUGACUCGUGAGUCUGUGACAUGAUUUAUGCGGAACCAGCCCAUGGCUGGGGUGGGCUGCAGCCCGGGUGGUUUCAAAAAUUACUAAAAAUUUUAUACAUAACUUCAGUCCAAACUGUUAAACAGCCCAGGUGAAAAAGAGAGAAAGGGACCACAUGAAGCAAAGUUUCAUCUGUCCCUCCUGUUAAUGCUUACUCCUAGCUAGAAUAACUUGAGCCCCUGCAAUUUCUUUAUAACUUGAAAACUAUGAUUCUUAUUUAAUAUAAUAUUUUAUGUAUGAGAGCGGUUGAACAUAUUUCUUCUUUAAAUAUGGUGCAGUAAUCACUAAACACAUGAUUAUUUUAUUCUAAAAAAAUUGAUUUCUAAAAAAUAAAAAGUUUUACUUCUCAUAAUAUAAAAUCUUUAGUUCACAUGAAGAUGACAGACUAAGCCAGAACAUAAGGCCUUGACUUGAAGUGAAAACAUAUGAUACCAUAUACAGACAUCAAGUCUGAGUAAUCUUGAAAUCAGAUACGAAACAUGGUGAUUCUGCAUUUUUUCAGAGAAACAGAGGCAUGGAUCAUGGUGAAAGACACACUUGUGUCCACACUGUACAUGUUGACCAACCAAGAUUCCUAAUUAGUUAAACUGGAGUUAUUCAUCAUUGUUUUUGUCACUUUCUUACCAACAUAGAGCAACACAUGUCUCGGUGGCAUCCCGGGCAAAAAUAUUAAAAAUAUAAUAAUAAUAAAAAUAAAAAUGAUUUAUAGAUAACUUAUAGAGUAUCAUAAGAUUAAAAACAUAGUAAUACAAAUAAAAGUGAUUUACAGAUAACUUAUGCUAUAAAAUUAAUUUUUAAAAAGGUUUAAUAUACUGAAGAAAGUAUCAUAGAUAAAUAUUUUUCGAUUUAAAAUCAAAUAUGAUUUAAAAUCUGAAUUUUAAGCCUAAACAAAUAGACUCCUGUCACCCAACAAUCGCGACAACAUAAAGGAACAAAAAUCUCACUUUAUCUUCAUUAUAAUUUCUUGUAAUAAUGUAGCUUAACUAACUUCUAACUUAAAGUUAGUUUCUUGCAAUUUCUAACUUUAAACCACUUCUAACUUAUACAAACAAACAUUUUUCACCUUAAAGUCGAAAAUGAUUUAAAUUUCACGUUUUAAGCCCAAACAAAAAGGCUCUAACGGUAUUUCUUUAUCUUUUGAGUUGUUCCGUCGGAUCGGUCGCUCAAGAUCUUUGGUCUCUAUCCGGACCCGAUGAAAGAAAUGGGAUCACUUCUUAUGCACUCGUUGAGAAUGAUUCUGAUCCUCGCGGAAAGAAAAAGAUUGCAGUCAGUUUGAUAAUGAUCGAGUGACACCAAGGAAUCCCUUAGAUAUGAUCCAAAACGGUGUAAACUGAGAGUUUAAAAUAUUUAUUUGAAUAAUUUUUAUUUAUUAAUGAUAUGUGAGUUAUUAAAAAUAUAAUAAUAAAGAAAGUGAUUUGUGGAUAAGUUUCGAGAUUCAUCUUCUUUUUCACAUUUUAAAGGUCUUAUUUAUAAUAUAAUAUUCAGAGACAUUAUAAUUUAAAUAAUCACCCUAUAAUAUUAUGUAUUGUUUUUAUACAUAAUCCAAAUAUAAACUUAAAAGCGGAUUUAGAUUUGUUCAUACAGCCCUUUCUUAGCUAUGAUGUGGUGGNNNNNNNNNNNNNNNNNNNNNNNNNNNNNNNNNNNNNNNNNNNNNNNNNNNNNNNNNNNNNNNNNNNNNNNNNNNNNNNNNNNNNNNNNNNNNNNNNNNGAAGAGGGCUUUCACCUCCUGCUUCACUUCAAACACUCUCCUUCCAUUCCCAAGACUUAGGUACGAAUAAUAUUACUGCUACUACUACUAUUACGUUGCUUUCGAUUGCAUUCACUUUGUCAAUCCCCCACUUGCCCUAACCCUAAUCACAUACCCAAUCAUCUUUCGGAAUUUCAACAAUUACUGUUGGAGAAAUCUAGAGUUGGUUUUGAUAAGCCUGAUGAUGCUCUUCGAGUGUUCGAUAAAAUGCACCGUAUGAAGCCUCUGCCUAGUGUUGUCGACUUUACUCAACUCUUGGCCGCCCUUGUCAAGACGAAACAUUACUCCGUGGCUGUCUCCGUCUUUUCAAAGAUGUGCUCUUUUGGCAUUCCUGUUAAUAUAGUUACUUAUAGUACUGUUAUCAACUGUUGUUGCCAUUUGAAGCACAUUGAUUAUGCCUUUGCGCUGUUGGCUGCCAUCUUUAAGCGUGGUUUCAUCCCUACUAUCGUUACAUACACAACUCUUGUUAGGGGGCUCGUUUCCCAGGACAAGUUUCUCGAGGCUGAGCUUAUGUUCUCUUACCUUCUCCAGCACAAUCAAAUUGAGCCUGAUGCAGUUAGCUUUAACACCAUUAUUGACGGCCUCUGCAAAACAGGCAACACUUCCCAGGCUAUGAGGUUGCUUAGGUACAUGGAGAAGAAAGGUUGUAUGCCGUGCGUAGUAACUUACAACACUAUUAUUGAUAGUUUGUCCAAAGACAGAUUAGUCGAUGAUGCUUUGGGUCUUCUUGCUGAAAUGAGUGACAAAGGCAUUCAACCAAGUGUUGUAACCUAUAACUCGUUAAUUCAUGGUAUUUGCAACCUCGAUCGGUGGGACGAUAUUAGCAAAUUGUUCAGAGAUAUGGACAGACACAAAAUUUCUCCAAAUAUGCAUACCUACAGUAUAUUGGUUGAUGCACAUGCCAGAGAUGGAAAGGUCAAAGAUGCUGAGUAUCUGAUAGAGUUAAUGAUUCGAAGAGGCCAACAUCCUGAUGUAGUCACGUAUAGUGCACUCAUGGAUGGAUACUGCUUGCGGGGAGAAUUGGAUAAAGCGUUAGUGGUGCUCAGUACCAUGAUAAGUAAGGGGAUUUUGCCUGACACUCAGACCUAUACUAUAUUGAUCAAUGGUUAUUGUAAGAAGAUGAAAGUAGACACGGCAAUAACUCUCUUAGAAGAAAUGCCCAUGAAAGGUUUAACACCUACAGUUGAAACGUACAGUACUAUUUUGGAUGGCUUAUUUCGUACGCGUAGGCUUGAUGAAGCACAUAUGUUUUAUAGGAAGAUGUUAAACCAAGGUGUUAAACUGAAUAUAGUGACCUGCAGGAUCUUGUUGCAUGGACUUUGCUGCAAUGGACUUGCUGGUGAAGCAAUGUCCGUGUUUCAUGACAUGGAGUCAUGUGGCUUACUUCCUGAUAUACACAUUUAUAAUAUUCUGAUUCAUGGAUUGUUCAAGGACGGCAAGGUUGACGAGGCCAGAAACCUUCUUCAUAAUGUUCGUUUGAAGGGUUUACACCCUGAUUUCAUAUCUUACAACAUUAUGAUCCAAGGAUUCUGUCAAGAGGGGUUGCUGGAAGAAGCAUAUAAAAUACUUUUGGAAAUGGAAGAAAACAAUUGCUUGCCUAAUGAAGUUACAUACAACACUCUUAUCCGUGGAUGCUUUAAGAAUAAGAUGUAUGAUGGAGCUUGUGUACUUAUAGAUGAGAUGUGUGCUCAUGGUUUCAAAGCAGAUGCCUCUACCACCUCCAUGCUAUUCGAUUUGUUGCAAUCGAAGGAGCAGGACCCCGCACUCCUUGCUAUGCAGAAGAAGUUCAUGCCUUGAGUACAGCAAUGAUAGAGUUUAUUAAGGUACAAAAUACUUUUAAAUUGACAGAACUUUGUAAUAGUUUGCUACAAAAUUUUAAAUCAAUUGCAGUUGUGAUAUUGGAGUUGAUAAAAUAUUUAAUUUUGUUAAAUAUGUACUGGGGAAAUGGUGGCCUUGUUGUAACUAUUGUUGUAUAAACCUAUCUGUAACUAUUGUUGUAAAAUAUAAAAACAAUUCUGAGACAAUGAGAAAGGCUGUCACUAUAUCCUUUUUUACGCCCUAGAGUCAUAUCCUACAACUUUAUGAUCAAUCAACUACUGGAAGAAGCAUAUAAAAUGCUUUUGGAAAUGAAAGAAAAUAAUUGCUUGUCUAGUGAAGUUACAUACAACACUCUUAUAAGUGGCUGCUAUAAGAAUAAGAUGUAUGAUGGAAGUUGUGUGCUUAUAGAUGAGACGUUUGCUCAUUGUUUUUCUGCAGAUGCCUCUACCACCUUCAUGCUAUUCGAUUUGCUGCAAUGAAAAGAGCAGAAACCCGGUCUCCUUGCCUUGCACAAGAAGUUCAUGCCUUGACUACAUCAAGGAAAGAGUUUUGUAAGCUACAAAGUACUUCUAAAUCGCUAUAACUUUAUAAUUGUUUGCUACGAAAUUUGAAGGCAAUAAAAAUUUGAAGUAAACCUUUUGCCUUUAUCUUCAGUGCUAAACAUAAAGGCUAACAUAUCUGUGCUUUUAUUAUCCUGAGACUCUGCGAGACCAUGUAUUAGUGCUACAAUCCAACAUUAUGAAAAUUGUUAUGACUCAGUGAUUCAGUCUUUCAGUAAAGCCUUGAAGCGAAAACAUAUAUUACUCUGAAUAUUGUUGAAAUGUGGUAUGAAAAAUUGUGAUUUAACAUAAAAUAGAUUUUAACAGCAUAAAAUUAUGUGUUUGUGAGUAUUAUAACAGGAUCAUUCAGUACAUUUUUCAACUUAUAAGCUAAACCAAACAGAUUUUCCACUCUUGUCAUCUAGAAUAGAUCAUUAAUUAUAUAAUAUCGCCAUACCUUGAAUGCAUAAACGGAACCGAGGGUGUCUACUACUGUUAUAACAAGAUUUAACAUUCUAUUAACGCCGACUAUAUCAAAAUUCUGGUUCCAAAACUAAACCAGAAGUACAAAAUCAGAAUAUCAGAAGCAGCCUCUGAUAACUUACUCCACCAUUAUACAUGGAAGUAGUCUCGUCAACAGGAAAUCUGAAGAAGCACUUAUUCUGAUAUAAAGCAGGCGUGCUAGCGGUUUCUCUGCAGAUGUAUCCCAAAAUCCACGGGACUUGACCUUUUUUCAACAGAAGGAAUGGUAUCAUCUGUCCUUGCUUUCUGUAAAUGGUGUUUACUCUACGUACUGAAAUUAAUGGCUUAAUAUUGAGUAAAUCUGCUUCAUCAUAUCACUCUUCACUCCCACAUGAAUACGUCUCCCUAACAUAUUAUUACUGCUCAAAUAUGCUUGAAAGUUAGUAAUCUUACGGUAACAUCUAUGAAACAUCUCAUCCGUUUAAUGAUAGAGUGAGAAUGUACCUGCUUGAUGUGCUGCUAUUAGCUUAGUCAAUUGAUCAUCAUCAACAAACUUAUCCGAUGUUAUUAGCUCAGCCAAUUGAUCAUCAUCAACAAACUUAUCCGAUGCAUAUAUUUAUUAAUAGUGGAAAAUGGAAUUGAUUUAUAAGGUAGAUAUUUAUAUAUUGGGCAAAUUAAUUUUAACGAAAUUAUUAACAAUUUUUUUUUCUAGGUUCCUGAUCUAUAAAUAAAAAUAGAUAAGUAAUUGAACUUUUGAAUUUUUUCUAUCAAAGUUUUAAAUUUUUAUGAACGUCCAUUUUGCUGAUGUGGCAAGUUUAAAAAUAAAUCGAAAAUACAUGUAUUCCGUGUAAGCAGCCUCAUCCCCUACAACUCACCCUUCAACUCACCAUUCUUCCCCAUUUCUCCUCUCUCUCCCUCCUACUUCAUUUUUCACGACCGCUGCCAACCGGAAAGUUUCCAGCGGUCUGACGCCUCCCCCCCCCUCCCCCUACUCCGCCAUGAUCAGCGGUUUUGCCGUCCCUCGAUACCAUUACCCACAUCAACCUCACCAAAAUCACAACAGAAAACUCAUCUCCCUCCCUGCUGUAUUCUCCCCUCCUUCGGCACUUUCUUCCUCCGCGAGAAGCCUAUCGUCGCAGUCGACGGUGGCUCCCGCGCCUCCCUCCUUCAUGUUUUUCCUUUCCUUUUUCUAAUACUGAUCAUUUCUACCCCCGAUCUUCCCCUUCUUUCCAACACAACUUAACUUCACAAAUUCAUCGAUACUUUGAUCACAUAUGAAUUCUAUUCAAUUUAAAUCCUUAGCCCUAGCCUGUUCAGAUUUGGAGAAAACAAAAUUCUGUUGUGAUGAAUCAACUAUUAUUAUUUCAGUUUUAUUUUUUUUGUUUGUCAUGUAAGUAUUGACUAACGGAUGUUAUUGUUUCAGUUUUAUUUUUUUUGUUUGUCAUGUAAGUAUUGACUAACGGAUGUUAGUUGACUUUUAACGGACGGAUCCCAAUGAAAAGUUUGAAAGUUUAAGGAUCGUAUUAUUAAAAAAAAAAAAAAUAGGAUAGGAUCUAGAUAAUAAACAACCUAUAUUUAAAGGACGUUAGAAUUAAUUACCCUUUAUAUAUUUGACACGUUUUGACAUGUGAAAUAUUUUUACCCAUAACAAUAAUAUUUGAAUGCAUUUAUUAUAAAGUUUUAAUAUAUUAAAUUUUGACAAAAAUUUAAAUUUAAAUUUUCUCAAUUUUUCAAAAUAUAUAAUAAAAUUUUCUGAUAAAAAUAAAAUUUCAAAAAUUUGUCCACCAUAUAAGAUUAAAUCCACUCUAAUCUAGGUUAAAUAUCACUUUUCUAAGUAUAAAUAUAUAAUUAUAAUAAGAUGAAUAAUAUAAAAUCAACAUAAGUUAGUAUCCAAUAUGACUAAUUUUUACAAAUUUAUAAUUUUAUGAUAUACUUUAUUAAAGUUAAUAAUUUAUAUUAUUUCAUAAAUAAUUUAAGUGCUUACAGAAUUUUUAAAAUAUGACUAUAAAGACCAAUUACGUAGAUACAAAUGAAAUUGUGCGUACUUCUAUGUAUAAAUACCAAUUAAAUUAUGAAAAUAAUGUAAUUUUAUAUGUACUUUUAUUAUUCUCUUUUUAAUUUUUAUUAUUUCAUAUUGUAGUAUGAUUUAUUAAUAAUAGUUUUACAUUUAUUUUUCAUUCAUACCAUAAAUUAAUAUAGAUUUAUAUUUGAUUAAUUAAUUAAUUAAUUAAAUAUAAAAUAUAUAUAAUAUUUAUUUAUUAAUUUUAAAACAUUUUAAAUUUUCGCAAAUUCUUGCAAACAGUGAUGACAAAGCAAACAUAUACAAUAUAAAUUCAGUAAUUAGGAUAAAAUUAAAUCUAGAUUGUUAAGAUUUUGGAUUUUGAAAUUGAGAAUAGAGAUUUCAUUUGGUGUUUUUCAAACCGAUAAUCUAUUCUUAUUCAAUAAUUCAUGUUAUAAAUUUUUAUAUAUAAUGUUGAAAUGAUCUGUACUUCAAUUUUUAUUUUAAUAAUAUCAUUUUAAUUAAAUAAUAAUUAAUCAAUUCGUAAUACAGGUAUAAUGUUAUUUUAAAAAUGACUAACAUUUUCUUAUAACUAAUCAAAACGACCCCUUCUUGGUAUGAUAUGAGGGGGAGAUACGAAAAUGUGAAAGUAAAAAUUAUUAUUUUUGAAAUUUUUUUUUUGUGAAAAAUAAUAUCAAUCAUAUAAUUUAAUUGUGACAAUCCAGGUCAAAUUCCGAGUUUUUUUCGAAAAUUCGGUCAAGUCCCGAAUCUCGAAAUGCGAAAAAUAAGCCGAAAUAAACUGGCUCAAUUGCAACAACUUGGGUAAUCCACAACAACUUGGGUAAUCCACAAGCCCACCACAGGCCCCCAAAAGAUCAUAAUUUGUUGGGGCAAUUAAUAGUAGUACUUAUGCUUAUAAAUUGAACUAAAGUCUCCACACUUCUCGAUGUGGGACUGGGGUGUUACAAACUCCCCCAUUUAAAUUCCUAACCUCCUAGUCAGGCCGAAACGGAUAGCCCAUAGGCCCAGAUCGAAACUCUCUAGCCAUUGUCCUCAGGCAACUUGACUAAUCAAGCUUUCGAGAGCCUGCUCUAAAUACCAUAUGUGACAACCCGGGUCAAAUCCCGAAUCUUUUUCGAAAAUUCGGGUCAAGUCCCGAAUCUCGAAUCCGAAAAUAAGCCGAAAAUUGCAACAACUUGGGUAAUCCACAAGCCCACCACAGGCCCCCAAAAGAUCAUGAUUUGUUGGUGCAAUUAGUAGUAGUACUUAUGCUUAUAAACUCAACUAAAGUCUUCACACUUCUCGAUGUGGGACUGGGUGUUACAUUUAUUUAAAUAAAAAAAUAUUAAUGAUUUUUAGCAUGAGAUCAAAUGGCUUAAAAAUGUAUGCAAAAAAUUCAAACGACUUAUAUUUGAAUAGUAAACUAUGAUUACUAUCUGAAGUUAAAAAUUACUCUGUUCCUCUAGGUUGUUUAUGUUAAUUGUUUGCAUGUAUUUUGAGACUCGUAUAAAAUAUAAUUUCUUUAUAUGUUUUUCAAAAAAAUUGAAUAAAAAUUCAAAUAUCAAACUUUUAUUUAGGGAAAAAGAAUUUAAAAAUAUAUAUUAGAGGCCAUUUGGUUCACAUGUAAAUAUCCCUCAAAUAUUCUUAGAAAAUAUGUAAGUGAUCGUUUGGUUGACAGUAAGUUACUGGCUAUGUUAAAUGUCUGGGAACUGACCAUCCAUCAAGUUGUUUGAUUAUUAUUUUUAUCGAGAAAUGAUAUUUAUCAUUUAAUUAUUAUAAAAGACAAUAUGAUUAUGAAAAUAUAUUAUCUAAAUAGUUAAAAUACAAACAAAUAAUAUGCAUGUAAUGUCCAAACAUAUGAAUCAAACAAGUUUGUGUUACUUCCCAAGCGAAGAUAGGAAGCAGAAGUUAUUACAAGAAAUUACUUCCAUGAUGAUACCAAACAAAUGCUAAAAUUAAAAUUGUUUGUUUGAGAGCAUCUCCAACCAUACAAAACUCUUAGGUAAAAGAUGAGUUGGCAUGCCAAAUAUAAAAAAUUUAGCCAACCAGUUGAAAAAAUAUCACUCAAAUCACGUCCAUCUGUUGUCUAUAAUUUUAGCCAAUCUCCUAUGGAUGGCUAUAUUUGUCGAUCCGCUAUAGGUCUGUAAGAAAUCUGUAAGAAGAUUACACAUCAUUUAUUAUCAUAUUGAACUGAUAUAUUCUAUUUUAACAAUCUAAAAUAUUAAUAACAUACUAUUUUUAAAUUAUAGCCAAUCAAUAUAGCCAAUACCAUUGAAGCACAAUGUCUUAUAGGUUCAGCAAAUUUUACAUAAUGUCUUACAGGUCCAAUUUAGCCAACGAUUAUAACCAACCACGUUGGAGAUGCUUGACAAAAAAAAUGAAAAUGUAACUUCCAUGAUUUUACUUCCCCCAAACUACUUGGACUUCUUAUACGAAUUAAAAAAGUUAUGUCCCAACCAAACACAUAUAUCAACUUCCUAUUUAUUGUAAUUUACGUAAUAAAUUCAAAUUAUAUUAGAAAUAUCUUCCUAUUAUCAACCAAGCAUUUAAAAAACGGUUUUUCUAUGGUGUGCCCAUGGGCACAUGCUAAGCGCGGAAAUUUUUGUGUUUAGAUCAUUUUGAUUGGCUCAUACUCCUUAAUAAUGAUGGACCCCCCCUGCAAAUACACCAACCACACCAAUCAAAAUGAUCUAAAUGCAAAAAUUUCCGCGCUUAGCAUGUGCCCAUGGGCACACACUAAACAAACCGUUUAAAAAAUUAUAAUUUAAAAAAGUCUUUAAAAAGACUAACCUGAAGAAUUGAGGGGAGAGGGGGAAUACUACAUUUAGCGAUCAUGAAAAAAAACUGAGCAAACGACCCCUUCUUGGCAUGAUUUGAGAGGUUAGAGCAUUUUUAAAGACGAAUGCAAAAAAGAGAAAGUAAACUUGCGAAAAAGGAAAGUAAGUGAGAGACUGAGGAGGAGGAUGUCGAGAAUGCCAAGCGCUUUUACUGCUUGCUUCAGCUCAAACGUUAUUUGUGACAAGGGCUUUCUUGGAUUUAUGAGACACGGUACUCCUGCUCUUACUACUACUAGUUUUUGUUCUGUUAAUACAUUGCUUCGAUUGCAUUCACUUUGUCAAUCCCCCACUUGCCCUAACCCUAAUCACAUACCCAAUCAUCUUUCUUUUGCUGUCUUUCUUUACUGAAACUUGUGCUUUUACCAUUCAUUUUGAUUAACGAAAGUAGCAGACAAUGCGAAAGGCAUUUGUUUUGUUCCGUAAAAUGCUAAAAAUAAGACCUAUAGUACAGCUCCAAUCCAUUAAAAGACUUCUACUACUACUAUUGCGUUGCAUCGAUUGCAUUCACUUUCUCAAUAUCCCACUUGCCCUAACCCUAAUCACAUACCCAAUCAUCUUUCGGAAUUUCAACAAUUACUGUUGGAGAAAUCUAGAGUUGGUUUUGAUAACGGAAUUUCAACAAUUACUGUUGGAAAAAUCUAAGGUUGGUUUUGAUAAGCCUGAUGAUGCUCUUCAAGUGUUCGAUAAAAUGCUCCGUAUGAAACCUCUGCCUAGGGUUAUCGACUUUAAUCAACUCUUGGCCGCCCUUGUCAAGAUGAAACAUUACUCCGUGGCUGUCUCCGUCUUUUCAAAGAUGUGCUCUUUUACCAUUCCUGUUAAUGUAGUCACUUAUAGUACCCGUAUGAAACCUCUGCCUAGUGUUGUCGACUUUACUCAACUCUUGGCCGCCCUUGUCAAGAUGAAACAUUACUCCGUGGCUGUCUCCGUCUUUUCAAAGAUGUGCUCUUUUACCAUUCCUGUUAAUGUAGUCACUUAUAGUACUGUCAUCAACUGUUGUUCCCAUUUGAAACGCGUUGAUUAUGGCUUUGCGCUGUUGGCUGCCAUCUUUAAGCGUGGUUUUGUCCCGGAUGUUGUUAC
rnacentral:lncRNA from 1 species